CCACCAAAAGUCGUUUUAAGGAACAAAUCUUCUGGGACCCUACACCGAAGUAAAAGCAUGUGUUACAGGAAUAAAGAUGAAGGGACAGAGCAGGAAAACCCUCAUGUGUCAGAGGUCCAGACUCCACAAAGGACCACACUCAGAGGUAAUAAGCAACGGCCCCAUUCAGAUACAUUUGCUUCUCCAAUAUAUCCAAAUUAUCCUGCAUACCAU